rnacentral:rRNA from 1 species
AGUGAACGCUGGCGGUAGGCCUAGCACAUGCAAGUCGAACGGCAGCACAGUAAGAACUUGCUCUUACGGGUGGCGAGUGGCGGACGGGUGAGGAAUACAUCGGAAUCUACUUUUUCGUGGGGGAUAACGUAGGGAAACUUACGCUAAUACCGCAUACGACCUACGGGUGAAAGCAGGGGAUCUUCGGACCUUGCGCGAUUGAAUGAGCCGAUGUCGAAUUAGCUAGUUGGCGGGGUAAAGGCCCACCAAGGCGACGAUCCGUAGCUGGUCUGAGAGGAUGAUCAGCCACACUGGAACUGAGACACGGUCCAGACUCCUACGGGAGGCAGCAGUGGGGAAUAUUGGACAAUGGGCGCAAGCCUGAUCCAGCCAUACCGCGUGGGUGAAGAAGGCCUUCGGGUUGUAAAGCCCUUUUGUUGGGAAAGAAAAGCAGCAGGUUAAUACCCCGCUGUUCUGACGGUACCCAAAGAAUAAGCACCGGCUAACUUCGUG